UGAAGGUAUUAUAGAAGAUGUAAUACUUUUGGGAGCACCUGUGUCUGGGCAUCCCAAACACUGGGAGCCUCUCUCCAGAGUUGUGGCAGGGAAAAUUAUUAAUGUCUACUCCAGAUCUGACUGGGUGUUGAAGUUUCUCUACAGAACAGCCUCUGUUCAGUUCAGUAUAGCAGGUCUGGCACCAGUGAAGUGGCACAAUAGAAGGUUGAUGAACUUUGACCUCACAGAUGUGGU